GUAGUCUCGCACAGAUGCAUAUCAAUAAGCGGAGGAAAAGAAACUAACAAGGAUUCCCUUAGUAACGGCGAGUGAAGCGGGAAGAGCUCAAAUUUGAAAUCUUGCAAGGUUUACCUUUCACGAAUUGUAGUUUAAAGAAGUGUCUUCUGUUACGAUUUGGUAAUAAGUUCUUUGGAAUAGGACAUCACAGAGGGUGAGAAUCCCGUCUAUGAUUGCGAUUUGUAGCUUUGUGAUACACUUUCAAAGAGUCGGGUUGUUUGGGAAUGCAGCCCAAAACGGGAGGUAAAUUUCUUCUAAGGCUAAAUAUUGGCGAGAGACCGAUAGCGAACAAGUACCGUGAGGGAAAGAUGAAAAGAACUUUGAAAAGAGAGUUAAAUAGUACGUGAAAUUGUCAAAAGGGAAGCGUUUGACACCAGUGUUGUUUUCUGAAAAUCAACCUCUGUUAGCUUUAUGCAUGUUUGUUUAGACCUAAUCAGCUAUCUUGCAUGUUCUAUUGUUUGCAGUGGUGCACUUUUCAGUUUACAGGUCAACAUCAGUUUUUUUUACCGUAAAAAAGUUAAAGAAAGGUAGCUCAUGGCUCCGGUCGUGAGUGUUAUAGUCUUUUUCCUAUGCGGUAGGAGAGACUGAGGUCUGCAGUGUAGGCUAUUUGGCUAGAUACUCAGGUGCUAUGUGAUACCAUUUCAUAAACAACUUGUUGAUUAUGUUUUGUCUAUUGCAUACUCGCUUGUACUAUCAUACCUACGCUUAGGAUGUUGAAGAUGUAGCACAUCAU
rnacentral:rRNA from 1 species